rnacentral:rRNA from 1 species
CAGCAGCCACGGUAAUACGAAGGGUGCAAGCGUUACCCGGAAUUACUGGGCGUAAAGCGCGCGUAGGUGGUUCGCCAAGUUGGAUGUGAAAUCCCCGGGCUCAACCUGGGAACUGCAUCCAAAACUGGCGAGCUAGAGUAUGGUAGAGGGUGGUGGAAUUUCCUGUGUAGCGGUGAAAUGCGUAGAUAUAGGAAGGAACAUCAGUGGCGAAGGCGACCACCUGGACUGAUACUGACACUGAGGUGCGAAAGCGUGGGGAGCAAACAGGAUUAGAUACCCCAGUAGUCCCUGUCUCUUAUAC